rnacentral:rRNA from 1 species
AACGUAGGAGACAAACGUUAUCCGGAGUUACUGGGCGUAAAGAGCUCGUAGGUGGUUCGAUAAGUCGGGUGUGAAAACUCUGGGCUUAACCCAGAGACGCCACCCGAUACUGUCGUGACUUGAGUCUGGUAGGGGAGUGUGGAAUUCCCGGUGUGAGCGGUGAAAUGCGCAGAUAUCAGGAGGAACACCAGUGGCGAAGGCGGCACUCUGGGCCAGUACUGACACUGAGGAGCGAAAGCGUGGGUAGCGAACAGG